CCCCGCCUGGUCAAUUUCUAGGUGCACUUAAUCCUUGCUGCUGCUCUCUGGGAUGGGGCCCCCGGUUCUACAGGGGUCUAGGUGAGGGUCUCAGGGAAGCCAGGGGUUAUAAACCCAAGACAUUGACAGUUAAGAGCUUGACUCCAUCAAUGACCUUGGGAACCUCUGCAGUGGAACAGAGGUCAAGCAUUCGACCGCUCUGAGAUCUGGCCUCCCCGUCUGUAAAACGGGGGUAUGCAUGGCAAGUAGCUUGAAUGCUGGCUGUAGAUGGAGAGAAAAAGUCAAGUUUUCUCCCUCCCUCUCUCUUUCUCUCUCUUUCUUUGGCUGAACCUGAGACAUGAGGAAGUUCUCAGCCCAAAAGUCGAACCUGAGCCGCAGCUGUAACCAGAGCUGUAUCAGUGACAAUGCCAGCUCCUUAACGCCCUGAGUCACAAGGGAACUCGUCAAGCUUUCUCUUUAAAAACAGAAAUCACAGUUUCCACAAGUAAUAUGCGAUUUUUAUCCCUAUAUGUUAAGAAAUGUUGGUUUAAAAACAUCUGAACACCAUAAAAUGCUUACAUGCUCGCUGCACGCCCAGCUUUGCAUCCGAGGCCGGCUGGAUGGUGGUACCCCAUGUGUGGGCGUGUCCUGUGAUAGGGCUGUUCACCUGUUCACUUGUUCUGGCCAUCCUACAGCCACCUCAUGAGGUGACAGGGACAGGGAGCAUCAUUUCUCCAAGGAGGGAACAGCUACAGAGUGGGGACGCCACUUGCUUCUUGAGAAAUUGAUGAGCCCGGCUUUGGACCUGGGCACUGUGUUCUACCAAGCCUCAGAACUUUGCAUCCUGAGCACUGAGUGAGCUUUCAGGGCACAAAAGCAAACCAGGGUAGAGCUACAUCUCCAAGGAGACGGGGACACAUGGGUAAACCAGCGAGACAUGUGGGGUAACGGGGGCACGGAGGCUGGGUAACCCGUCCAUCUCAUAAAGAAUCACCAGAAAGAUUUUGCUUAGAACAAGCCCCUAGGAGUUCCUGUUGUGGCUCGGCGCUUAAGGAUCCCUGAUGUUGUCUCUGUGAGGAUGCAGGUUCGAUCCCUGGCCCUUUGCUGUGGCUGAUGGAUGGUGCAUUUUUUUUUUAAUACCUCAACGUGGACUCCUCCGGAGUUGUCCUGGAAAUCCAGUGGCUUGUCCUUCACUGUGCUGGUCCAGUUCACGGUCAUGGGGUCUCUAGCUCCUGCUACUCAGACACAGGAUAACUUUUUUUUUUUAAUGUUCGUACUUGCACUGUGAGUUUGUUGUAUGGUUUGGGUUUUUUUUUUUUUUUAAAGGAUCAUUGUUUAAGAAGCGACUGUGCCCCCCACCCCCAAUCCCGAACCCAAAGGUGACUCCAAGUCCCUCGUGGAAGGAGGACCUCUGGGGUCCUCACAUCUUUAGGGCGUCUCCUGAUGGAGGCAGCGCCAGGCAAGGGGCCGUGGGGUAAAGGCAACAUUUGAUUGCAGCCCCUCUGUUAUCUACUGGACCUCAGAGCCCUGCCCCUUAGCCUCUCAGCGCUCCUGACCAGAACCUCCGAUAGGUCACCUCUCUGGUGGGGACAGGGUGGAGGGAGGGAUGGAGGGGCGGGGUCCGCCUAGAAGGAGCAAUGGAAGCGCCACCCAUCUGCACACGUCCGGUCGAGCGCUUGGACAAGCCGAGAUGGGUGGAAGCUGCACGCCAGGGCCCACGCUCGUCUGGUUGCAGAUUUCAAGUUGGUCUGUGGCUGGUUUCCUGCCAACAGGAGCCCACACGUCAUCCUCCAGGACUGCUUUCGUGAAAAAUUCCUCCUGCUGCUUUUGCUCCAAGGCCCAGGGCUGGUGCUAUAAGAAACCUGCCUUUGUUAAGUAACAGCAGCUUUCUCAGUUUGGGUUCAUCAGGGGCAUCCAUGAGAUGCCUGUGCAACUUGCACUGGCCGGGAGAGUCUGAACCCCCACAGCGGGCUGGUAGAGAACCCCAUCCAAAGCAAAGAAAGGGAUGGUGUAUGGAGGCCGUGGUGGCCUGGCCCUCCGUCAGGUGCAGUGUCCGUCAGGGAUUUCAAGAGGCCGUAAAUAGCUUAGAGACACUCUCAUCCCAGGAAAGCCUUAGAGGGCCCCCAGGGAACCCCAGAUUGGGAAUCACUGGGCUAAGCCAGUUGGGAUGUGGAUGGUGCGUUACGCUCUGACAAUGCCCGCAGCCACGCCUAUUUCCCCAUCAAGGAAGGUCCCCUGUCUCUGCCAUUUACCGGCUGUGUGAUCUUGGGUGGAUGGCUUUCCCUCUCUGAACCUCUGAGUCCCAUGGCGUCCCCUCCUGGGUUGGAAGCACUCUGGAGGGGCUGGGUGUCUUUUUUUUUUUUUUUUUUUUCCUUUUUUGGCCACCCUGCAGCAUUCAGAGCUCCUGGACCAGGGAUCAGAUCUGAGCCACAGUUCUGACCUACACUGCAGCUGCGGCCACGCCAGGUCCUUAACCCACUGUGCCGGGUGGGGGAUGGUACCUGCGUCCCAGGCUCCAGAGACGCCGCAUUCCUGUUGUGCCACAGCGGGAACUCCUGGGUAUGCAGUGUGCACGUGGAAAUGGGGCUCAGGAAAUUCAGCUUCUGAGACGCUGUCUGUGAUGGGAGCCUGGAAGGGGAGUGAGGCGGGCAGGCGUGGUGGCCCAUUAGCGGGUUUGCCAAGGGUCCCUUGAGCCGGCAGUUCUGGGGUACACCUGAGCACCCCUGUCCUUAACACGCCUGGAAUCCCCCGGGGAUCUUGUGCUAGUGCAGGCUCUGAUGCAGCAGGUCUGGGCGGGGCUCUCAGGUAAGGCAGCCAGGGCCACACUGAGUAAUGAGGUGCCCCCACCAGGGCCUCGGACCGGACGGCCGGCCACUUGGCGUCUGGAAGCGAUGGUUCCAGAAAGGCGUGAGAGCCCCCCAGAACGUCCAGUCAAGGACAGAUGAAGCAACAUGAGGCCCACCGCCACGGCAGUUUGGCCGUGUUUCCCAAAGAGGCUCUGAAGCUCUGAUGCCAGAGAUUCACAAAGACUCCUGAAAAACAGCUUCCUUGCCCACUUUUGCUUAAAUACGCCAAAGUGCACUGGGAAUCUUGGAGAAGACACUCAAGACCACGGCCUGCCUGUACCCUGCACACCAAGGUUUUCCAGGGCACAACCUGGGAUCAGUGUUCCAAGGAGCACACUUUGGGAACCCAGCCCACGACAGGUCCUCCAGACUAAAAAGUGAUGGCUACAGGGAUCCAGGCGUGUUUGCCUCCUGGAAAUGUGCAGAAAAAUCCGUGACCCGUCUGAACCCACGUGGAGAAAACUGGAGGAGGAGUGAACUCAGGAUGGAUGAAUAAUGCCAAAGAUAAACACGUAAUAAAUAGGUAAAAACCCUUCCGUGGCUCCUCACUCUCCUCGGAAGACAGUCCAAACUUGAGAGUGGCCCUGUGGCCUUUGGGGGCCAGGCACAGACCAAGCUCGCACACCGAGGGGCUCGUCACCUUCUCUCCCUUGGACACACAGACUGGACUGAAUGGUGCCAGCUUCUCCUCUUUAGAACCUCACAUCCUCUGCCUGGCACACUGUCUCCUCUUCUUGUUACUUGCUAAAUGUCACUUCCUCCAGGAAGCCCUCCCUGCCUAAUUGACUUUAGUUCAAACCCCGGGCUCCCGCUGCACUUCUUUGUAGCCCUCGUCAUUGUAAUGAUCUAAAAAAAAUCUAAAAAAACCCAAA